rnacentral:rRNA from 1 species
UACGAAGGGGGGCGAGCGUUGUUCGGAAUUACUGGGCGUAAAGCGUGCGCAGGCGGUGAUGUAAGACAGAUGUGAAAUCCCCGGGCUCAACCUGGGAACUGCAUUUGUGACUGCAUCGCUGGAGUACGGCAGAGGGGGAUGGAAUUCCGCGUGUAGCAGUGAAAUGCGUAGAUAUGCGGAGGAACACCGAUGGCGAAGGCAAUCCCCUGGGCCUGUACUGACGCUCAUGCACGAAAGCGUGGGGAGCAACAGG